rnacentral:lncRNA from 1 species
UCCGUUUCCCAUCUUCUUCUUCUAUCCCCACCCCCACCAUAAUUUUUACUCUCCAAAAUCGCCACCACCAGCCCCCUUUCUACUUCACCCACCAAUUUCUCCACCACCAGCCCCACCCCCUUCCCUUUAAACCCCCAAUUUCUUCUCCUUCAAUUAUCAAAUCCUUCACCCCACCUAAACCCCUUGACUUAAGAUCAUUAGAAAAGAAUGAAAUUGAAUUUCUAAAAUUAAAAGUUAUCUUCAUGAAUUUGAAAAUUUGAAAUAAAAUUGAAAUUGAAGAAAAGUUGUUAGCGGCGGUGUUAAUGGUGAUGGUGGUGUUAAUGAUGUACAUAUAUUUUUUGAGGUUUGUUUUAAUCAUUUUUCGGUGGAUUUUGUUGGAAUAUUUCGGAAUGAAGAGUUUUGAAUUGGAAUGUGGUGAUGCUAUUGCAUUGUUGUUUCUUGAAUUGGUGGUUUGAUGAAGAGAUCAUAAAGGGCUUAUAAUUAUGUUUUAAAAAUUCUAUCUUGAUUUUGUUUUUCAUGUUUUUGUUGUAUGGUAUAUUUUGAGCUAUUUAGUUUGUUGGGUUUGUGUCAGAAUCAAAAGGGGCUUUUAAUUAUGUUUUGAAUUGAUUUUGUUGGGUUUGCUUAAUGGCUAUUGGUAAAAUGUUUAAGUUUGAAGAAGAUAGAAAAUGAAGGAGAGGGGAGAGGUGGGGUGGUUUGAAGAAGAUAGAAAGGGAGGAAGGG